GACGAACGCUGGCGGCGUGCUUAACACAUGCAAGUCGAACGGAAAGGCCCUGCUUGCCGGGUACUCGAGUGGCGAACGGGUGAGUAACACGUGGGUGAUCUGCCCUGCACUUCGGGAUAAGCCUGGGAAACUGGGUCUAAUACCGGAUAGGAGCCAUUUUUAGUGUGAUGGUUGGAAAGUUUUUUCGGUGUAGGAUGAGCUCGCGGCCUAUCAGCUUGUUGGUGGGGUAAUGGCCUACCAAGGCGGCGACGGGUAGCCGGCCUGAGAGGGUGGACGGCCACAUUGGGACUGAGAUACGGCCCAGACUCCUACGGGAGGCAGCAGUGGGGAAUAUUGCACAAUGGGCGCAAGCCAGAUGCAGCGACGCCGCGUGGGGGAUGACGGCCUUCGGGUUGUAAACUCCUUUCGCUAGGGACGAAGCUUUUUGUGACGGUACCUAGAGAAGAAGCACCGGCUAACUACGUG
rnacentral:rRNA from 1 species